rnacentral:lncRNA from 1 species
CCUAAAAUCACCCGUCACGCCUACGAAAAGGAGCCUAGGAAUCGCAUUUAGUUUUCUUAGUUUAUUUUCUUUUCUUUUGAUUUUACUCGAGGACGAGCAAAAUAUAGGUAUGGGGAAGUUUGAUAAGUGCAUAUUUUGGUAUAUUUUAAAUGCCUAAUUAUUGCUUGUUCUCACUUAUUUAUUUGUUUAUUUGUCUUUUUUGUAGGAAUAUUGCAAAUGCUUGAAGAAAUAAAAGAAUAAAGCAAAAAAGAGAAAAAGAUGGAAGAAAAGGAUCAUAGGGGAAUAUUCUCAAGGAAGCAUCUAGAUGGGACACCUACACCCCCCUCUACCCUAAUUUCCCCCUAUAAAUACACACCUCCCCAUCAUGUUUCAACCAACCUAGGAGUUCAUAUUUUU